ACCUGGUGAAAGAUGAUUGAAUCACGGGGGCAGGUCUUUCCAGUGCUGUUCUCUUGAUAGUGAAUGGGUCUCAUGAGAUCUGAUAGUUUUAAAAACAGGAGUUCCUCUGCACAAGCACUUUUUGCCUGCUACCGUCCACGUAAGGUGUGAUUUGCUCCUCCUUCUCUUCCGCCAUGAUUGUGAGGCUUCCACAGCCAUGUAGAACUAGCGUGAUCCUUGUACUUGUAUGAAAAAAGUUAACUGUGAAACAGCCUCAGGCAGGUCCUCCAGGCAGUAUCCAGAGGAAGGCAUUGCUAUCACAGAGAUGACAGCUCCAUGCCUGUUAUUGCCCCUGAAGACUUUCCAGUGGGACAGGAUGUGGUGGUGGAAGACAGUGAUAUUGAUGAUCCUGACCCUGUGUUGGCCUAUGAUAAUGGAUCUCAAUAUGUUGGCCAAGCUGGUCUCGAAAUCCUAGCCUCAAGCAAUCCUCUAGCCUCGGCCUCCAAAAGCGGUGGAAUUACAGGCAUGGGACACCAUGCCUUGCCUUUACCUUUUCUACAUUUAGAUAUGUUUGGACACAAAAAUGCCCCUGGGUUACAAUGGCCUACUGUAUUCAGUACAGUAACAUGCUGUGCAGGUUUGUGGCAUAGGAGCAAUAGGUUAUACUACAGCUAUAGGCUAUAGGCCUAGGUGUGUAGUGUGGCUUUGCCAUUUGGGUUUGUGUAAGUGCAUUCUAUGAUGUUUGCACAAUAACCACAAAAUCACUAAAUGAUGCAUUUCGGAGACUGUAUCCCCACCAUUGAGUGAUGCAUGACUUUGUGUGUGUGUGUGCGUGUGUGUGUAUAUGUGUAUAUAUCUCACUUAUUAGGCAUAAAAAUGUUACAAAUUUAGAUGCUAUAGAUAACAGUAUAUCUGAUACUGUAUAUUACUACAGAUGCUGUGGGGAUUAGAAAGAUAAGAAUGUCAUGACCAACUUUUUAUACCACUAAAUAUGAAAAUAGGUGUAAUAUACAAAUUCCUAGAGAAAUAUGUUACCAAAUCCGACUAAUAUAUGAAUGCAAUUUACCACAUUAAGAAAUAAAGAAAGCAAAGUUUUAUGAUCAUCUUAUAAGCUUCAGAAAAAUCACUGGUCACAUUCAACAAUCAUUCAGUAUACAAACUUACAGCAAAUUAGAAAUGGAAAAGAACUUUCAAAACCUGAUGAAUGACAUCUACAGAAACCUACAGCAAUAUCAUACUCAGUGAUAAGAUUUUAAAAUGAGGAACAAGCUGAGGAUAGCCACCAUCACUACUUCUAAUAGACAUUAUUCUGAAACUUUUAUUUAUUGUCAUAAGACAAGAAGGCAGAAAUAAAGCCAUGGAGAAGAAAAGAAACCCAUUGUCUUUAUUUGCAGAUGGCAUGAUUAUCUACAUAGAAAACCCCAAAUCUAUGAAUAAAUGAUUAGUAUAAGAGUGUUUAACAAUGUUCUCAGAUGAAAGAACAAUAUACGAAAGUCAGUUGCAUUUUAAUUUGUCAGCAAUAAACACAAUUUUUAAAAGCUAACACUUAAAAUAGCAACCACAAAAAGGAUACAUAGGAACACAACUAAAAAGAGCUGUGCAAGAAA
ensembl:lncRNA novel transcript